UACGAAGGGGGCUAGCGUUGCUCGGAAUCAUUGGGCGUAAAGCGCACGUAGGUGGCCUGUUAAGUCGGGUGUGAAAUCCCUGGGCUCAACCCAGGAAGUGCACUCGAAACUGGCAGGCUUGAGUACUGAAGAGGGUCGCGGAAUUCCCGGUGUAGAGGUGAAAUUCGUAGAUAUCGGGAGGAACACCAGUGGCGAAGGCGGCGACCUGGGCAGAUACUGACACUGAGGUGCGAAAGCGUGGGGAGCAAACAGG
rnacentral:rRNA from 1 species